UCCAAGUUCAAAUGUUUGCUCUUCUCCCAGGUCCACCACAAUGGGGACAGCUAAUCCUGCUGAUUUUCCUUAGAAAUUGGACUUUGAGUAAUGAGUAUCAUCUUGUCAGACUCUUAAAGCAUGCUGAAUUUUAAUGCUUCAUAUGCUCAGCACCAGUGACACCAAACUGUAGAAUAACAGGCUUUCCUUUACAUUUGUCUUUCCAAAUAGGUGCCCAGGCAGCCUGUUCAUGUGAAGCAGGGGUAUUGCGUGCACCCACCACAUUGUUCAUCUGUGAUUUCCUCAGGUAAAUGACCUCCUUUGGAGCAGGAGAAGCAAUGUGAUCCAUGGCUGUGAGGUACCAUUGAAUCUGUGUUGGGAUGCUCAUGUCUCUGUUCUCAGUGUCACCUCUAUGUCCUUGGAGUUUCCAAACAGCUUCCUGCACCUGCGUGACUAAUAACAAGAUCUGGUCUCUGAAGAUCUUCUUGCAAGGAAUCUUUGUACCUGUAAACGUCCAGAGUAAAGAACUCAGUGCUGAAUGGUUCAGGCACCACUGUUCCUCUACCAAUUUGGAGAGUAGGUCGGCUGUAACCGAGGCUCUUGAAGAUACAGAGACUCUCCUGCGCUGACAUACGUUCAUUGAGCUCGUUGAAACUGGUCCCUACAGUAACAAACACGCACUUCAUCACGAGGGCUCUAACGCAUAAUCACGAGGGCCGGAAGUGACGUACAGGGGCUACGGGCCACUGCCCUCCAAAAGAGGCGGAAGUACGUAGUGGCCAUUUAGAAUAGGUCUUUAAGGAAUGUGAAAUUUGAAGUUCCGUCCAUAACCAACAUUUUAGAGACACUCAGAACUUUAUGGUUAGCAUCUCUUGUUCUUUUUCCACAUGCUAUAUUUAUGAACACGUACAAUUUUUGUUUUGUCUGUAGUAUCACAAAGAUAGUUACCUAGCCAGGGAGCCUAGAUUUCCUUUGGGUUGCUGAAAAUGCAAAUUUCUAGGUGUCGGAAAUACAACUCUUUAUUUUCCUUAAUCUUAUUAUCUGUGUAAUGUAGGUUACAUUGAGACAUGUAUACUUUGAGUAGCUGGAAGGAAAACCAUGCUGGCCCAUAGGUAAUUUGGUGGCUUGAUAUUGUUUGCACUGUUUUGCAAGGACAACUUAAGUAAAAACCUAAUGUGGGUAAUAAACAUAUGGAUUCAUUCUCUAAAACUGGAAUUUUUGGAUGUUGCAUUUCAGAUUGAGUAUUUAGCAGUUUUUUGGC
rnacentral:lncRNA from 1 species